CUGUGGUUCUACAAGUAUUCAAGUGAAAAAUGUUAACCCCUUCCUUGCCUUGUGAGAUGAGUGAACCCCGAGCAGUCAGACUCCUGAGAGAGAAUAGACAAGAGCUGUUCAAUAUUGGAGAAAAAACAGGAUUCUAAAGGUCCCCAGCAGCUAAGGACACAAAUGAGAGCUGAGCACUCUCAGCCAUUCCCCUUUCACCUCAGUUCACAAUUCAAGCUGGGCAACGUUGUACAAGAGUAAACAUUGCUGCA